rnacentral:rRNA from 1 species
AUUGAACGCUGGCGGCAGGCCUAACACAUGCAAGUCGAACGAGUGGCGGACGGGUGUGUAAUGUCUGGGACACUGCCUUAUGGAGGGGGAUAACUACUGGAAACGGUAGCUAAUACCGCAUACCAUCGGAUGUGCCCAGAUGGGAUUAGCUAGUAGGUGGGGUAAAGGCUAACCUAGGCGACGAUCCCUAGCUGGUCUGAGAGGAUGACCAGCCACACUGGAACUGAGACACGGUCCAGACUCCUACGGGAGGCAGCAGUGGGGAAUCUUGCACAAUGGGCGAAAGCCUGAUGCAGCCAUGCCGCGUGUAUGAAGAAGGCCUUCGGGUUGUAAAGUACUUUUAGUGGGGAGGCGUUACCCGCACAAGAAGCACCGGCUAACUCCGUGCCAGCAGCCGCGGUAAUUC